UAUGGCGCUUAUGUGAACAUAGGUGGUCUUGGCUCUGUUAUCAAGCUGAUGUUUGCCGGCAUUUUAUUUCUUCUUCUGGUGAAGUUUAGCUUUGGAAGAAAACUUCUGACAAAAUACCCGGAAUUUUUCUCUGCUGGACGCUUCACAAGGAAAGGACCAACCCAGAAACAGAUGGAUGGAACCUCUUUUACAAUGACUUUUUUUGGCGAGGGUUACAGUGAGGGGCAGGAUCCCCAGAAUGGCAAACCAAACGUAAAGAUCUGCACUGAAGUGAAAG